rnacentral:rRNA from 1 species
UGUCCUUUUGAUUAUAAUUUAAGGUCUAAUCUGCCCACUGAAAUUUUUAAAUGGCCGCGGUAUUUUGACCGUGCAAAGGUAGCAUAAUCAUUAGUUUUUUAAUUGAAAGCUGGAAUGAAUGAUUGGAUGAAAAAAUGACUGUCUUAAAUUAAAAUUUAAAAGUUUAUUUUUAAGUUAAAAAGCUUAAAUAAUUUUAAAAGACGAGAAGACCCUAUAGAGUUUGAUAUUUACUAUUAUAGGUUUUUUAAGUAUAAAUUUAUUUAUAAUAGUAUUUAUUUUGUUGGGGUGACAGAAAAAUUAAAUAAACUUUUUCUAAAUUUUUACACUAAUAUAUGAAUAAUUGAUCCAUUAUUUGAUUAUAAGAUAAAAUUACCUUAGGGAUAACAGCGUAAUUUUUUUUGAGAGUUCUAAUCGAAAAAAAAGAUUGCGACCUCGAUGUUGGAUUAAAGUUAAUUUUUGGUGAAGAAGCUAAAAAAUUAGGUCUGUUCGACCUUUAAAACUUUACAUGAUCUGAGUUCAAACCGGAGA